CCUACGGGUGGCUGCAGUGGGGAAUAUUGGACAAUGGGGGGAACCCUGAUCCAGCCAUGCCGCGUGUGUGAAGAAGGCCCUCGGGUUGUAAAGCACUUUCAGUGAGGAAGAACGCCUGGUGGUUAAUACCCAUCAGGAAAGACAUCACUCACAGAAGAAGCACCGGCUAACUCCGUGCCAGCAGCCGCGGUAAUACGGAGGGUGCGAGCGUUAAUCGGAAUUACUGGGCGUAAAGCGCGCGUAGGUGGCUUGAUAAGCCGGUUGUGAAAGCCCCGGGCUCAACCUGGGAACGGCAUCCGGAACUGUCAAGCUAGAGUGCAGGAGAGGAAGGUAGAAUUCCCGGUGUAGCGGUGAAAUGCGUAGAGAUCGGGAGGAAUACCAGUGGCGAAGGAGGCCUUCUGGACUGACACUGACACUGAGGUGCGAAAGCGUGGGUAGCAAACAGGAUUAGAUACCCCAGUAGUC
rnacentral:rRNA from 1 species